CUUAUUUUUGUUCUAAUGCUCUCAUUUGUUCUAAUGCUCUAAUGCUGUUAAGUUACUAAUAUAAAAGCUCUCUUAUUAUUUUAUAUAGGCACUUAGUGCUAUGAGCGUGCCUCUUGAGAUUCCCUUUAUUGUGUCCCAUAAAUUAGGGUAUGUUAUGUUUUCAUUUUCAUUAAAUUCUAGUAACUUUUUAAAUUUCUUAAUUCUUGACUCAGUCGUCACUCAGUAGUGAGUUAUUUACUUUCCAUGAACUUGUAAGCUUAUUGUUGUUUUUGGUGUUGUUGAUAACUAGCUUUGCUACAUGGUGGUUUGUUGGGAACCAGUUGUUCAAUUUUCUUCCAUCUGUUGAGACUUUUUGUCCAAGAAUAUGGUCAAUUUUGGAGAAAUCUCCAUGAGCUGCUGAGAAGAAGGUAUAGUAUUUUGUAUUUGGGUUAAAAGUUCUGUGUCUGUUAGGUCCAUUUUUUUAUGAAGACGUUUUGCUCCAGCAUGCCUCUAUUCAGUUUUUGUCUGGAUGACCGGUCUAUUAGUAAGAGUUGGGUAUUGAAGUCACUUACUAUGACUGUGUGAAGGUUAAUAUGUUUCUUUUAUGAACUUGGAUGCCCUUGUGUUUGGUGCAUAGAUGUUUAAAAUUGCAACUUCCUCCUGGAGGAUUUUUCAUCUGAUAAAUAUGUAUAGUGUCCAUCCCCACCUAUCUCUUCUGAUGGUUUGGUUUGAAGUCUGUUUUUUAGAUAUUGAAAUGGCUGUAUACCAGCUUGUUUCGUAGGUCUUGAUGUAUCUUUUCCCAUAUUUUACCCCCAGGUGAUUUCCAACUUGAUGUUAGAGGGUGUUUCUUGGAUGCAGAAAACAUAUGGACCCAAAUUUUCAUUGUUAUUGUUGUUUUGUUUGUAUGUUUAUUUUUCAAGUCAGGACAGCUCUGGCUGUCCUGGAACUCAUGCUGUAGACCAGGCUGUAGACAGAGAUCUGACUGUUUCUGCUUUCUAAGUACCAGGAUUAAAGAAAGGCAUGCACCAAUACCUGGCCUGGAUUCUGAUUUUUAAUCCAAUCAGUCUAUGGCUUUUUAUUGGGGAAUUAAGAUCUUUGAUAUUGAGAGUUAUCAAUGUACAGAACUGGUUGUUUCUUCAUAUGUUACUUGGUCUUUUUUCUUGCAGUUUUUAAUAUUCUUUCUUUGUGUAAAUUUAGUAUUCUGAUUAUUAUGGGUUGUGGGGAAUUUCUUUUCUUGACCUUUCUAUUUUGUGUUCUUAUGCCCCUUGCACGUUGAUGGGCUCUUUAUACUUGUCAAGGAAAUUUUCUUCUAUGAUUUUGUUGAAAAUAUUUUUCUGUGCCUUUGACCUGAAUAUCUUCCCCUACUCUUUAUCCCUAUUAUUUGUAAAUUUGUUUUUUCAUAGUGUCCCAGAUUUCAUGAAUGUUUUGUACAUGGACGUUUUUAUGUUUAGCAUUUUCUUUGACUGAGGUAUCCAUUUCUUCUAUCUCAUCUUCAGUGUCUGAGAUUCUCUUUUCAUGUCUUGCAUUCUCUUGAUGAGGCGUGCCUCUGAAAUUGCUUUUUGAGUUUAUAAAUGUUUCAUUUUAACCUCUCCUUCAGUUGGAUUCUCUUUAGAGAUUUCAUUUCCACUUUUAUCUCCUGAGAUGUCUUUGGUUUGGGUUUUUUGUUUUGUUUGUUUUAUUCUACUGUUAGUUUGUGUUUUCAUUAAUUACAUUAGUGGAUUUGGCCAUAUCCUCUUUAAUGUUCUUGAACAUAGUCAAGGUAGGUAUUUCAGAAUCCUUGACUUGUGCUUCAGGUGUAUUUGACUUCUCAGGGCCUACUAUGAUAGGGUGGCUGGGAUUUAGUAGAGACACAUCCUGGCUAUUAAUUGUAGGGGAAGCUGUAGCCACGCCUUCUUAGGGGCUGGCUACAGGAGUACCUGAGGGCUUGUGAGGGCGUGGUCAGAGUGAGUAGGGGGACUGCGUUUUCGGUUUCGGUUUCUCUUUGCUGCUUGCUGUACAGACUACCACCGGCUGGCUGGUUCGCUCUGUAAGUAAGGCUUUUCCCUAUUAAAUACCCUUAUAUUUCUACCUGACUCCGUAUUGGUAAUUUCCUACUAUAUCUGGUUGUCAGAAGUGGGAUAUUGGAAACCCACACCCCAUUUGGGACAGGCUGUGGGUUCCAUCGGGCCCGCCGCCUAGGCCGGGAAAGCACCCUCUCUCCACAGGCGUUCCCGGCUAGCAGCUGACCCACGGCAGCUGAGCUGCUCAGAGCCAUCCACCCAGUUUCUAGCUGCCUAGAGAUAAGCGCAGAAGCUUUUGUGACCUCUCUCCACUGCUGACCGACUGCUGUCAAACGCCUCGGAAUAACUGAAGGCCUGUGCUACCUGCUGGUCAAAUAUAUUUACUGCAUCUGGAGUAGAAAUCAGGUAAAAUCAUGGCGGAAUAUUUAUCAUUUGCUAAAAUUGGUAAUGUUUUUGCUUAUUACGUGAAUUCACUGUUUGAGGAGGAUGCUAAUUUGCCAAUUAUUGGCCUAUAUGCUGUCAUGGCAGUUAGCUUGCUGGUACAAAUAGUAUUACUAGCCAGAGGACUCAGGAAUAGAGAUAAGGAUAACCUCACCACCUGCUUACAGGAAAUAACAGCUUUACGAUUAGGUCAGACCACAAUUGUGCAGCAAAUGGAACAG
rnacentral:lncRNA from 1 species